GGUGCGUGUCAUCGGCGGCGCAGGCAGCCAAAACGACGACGGCGUCAAAGGUGUCGGAUUGUGCUCAAAUUCGGUCGGGAGUUGCGGAACGUGCCUACGACCGAUAAUCAUUGCUAUGCCAUGACCGGUGAUGUAUUUUGGGCAUCCGAGGUCGUCUGAGGGGCGAAAAUGCCAGGUACUGAUGAGGUGCGUGUCAUCGGCGGCGCAGGCAGCCAAAACGACGACGGCGUCAAAGGUGUCGGAUUGUGCUCAAAUUCGGUCGGGAGUUGCGGAACGUGCCUACGACCGAUAAUCAUUGCUAUGCCAUGACCGGUGAUGUAUUUUGGGCAUCCGAGGUCGUCUGAGGGGCGAAAAUGCCAGGUUACUGUCCUGAUACACAAAAGUUACUGUUGUAUAUAAAGGAAGUCACUGUUCUGGUUCAUCGUAGAUACUGUUAUAAUUCUUCGUGGUUACUGCUAUAAUUCAUCGAAGUGACUCUUCUAAAUCAUCGGGCUCACUGUUGUGAUCUAUAAAAGCUAAUGUUUUGAUUGAAUAAAGGUACUGAUGAGGUGCGUGUCAUCGGCGGCGCAGGCAGCCAAAACGACGACGGCGUCAAAGGUGUCGGAUUGUGCUCAAAUUCGGUCGGGAGUUGCGGAACGUGCCUACUACCGAUACUCAUGGCAAUGCCAUGACCGGCGAUGUAUUUUGGGCAUCCGAGGUCGUCCGAGGGGCGAAAAUGCCAGGUACUGAUGAGGUGCAUGUCAUCGGCGGCGCAGGCAGCCAAAACGACGACGGCGUCAAAGGUGUCGGAUUGUGCUCAAAUUCGGUCGGGAGUUGCGGAACGUGCCUACGACCGAUAAUCAUUGCUAUGCCAUGACCGGUGAUGUAUUUUGGGCAUCCGAGGUCGUCUGAGGGGCGAAAAUGCCAGGUUACUGUCCUGAUACACAAAAGUUACUGUUGUAUAUAAAGGAAGUCACUGUUCUGGUUCAUCGUAGAUACUGUUAUAAUUCUUCGUGGUUACUGCUAUAAUUCAUCGAAGUGACUCUUCUAAAUCAUCGGGCUCACUGUUGUGAUCUAUAAAAGCUAAUGUUUUGAUUGAAUAAAGGUACUGAUGAGGUGCGUGUCAUCGGCGGCGCAGGCAGCCAAAACGACGACGGCGUCAAAGGUGUCGGAUUGUGCUCAAAUUCGGUCGCGAGUUGCGGAACGUGCCUACUACCGAUACUCAUGGCAAUGCCAUGACCGGCGAUGUAUUUUGGGCAUCCGAGGUCGUCCGAGGGGCGAAAAUGCCAGGUACUGAUGAGGUGCAUGUCAUCGGCGGCGCAGGCAGCCAAAACGACGACGGCGUCAAAGGUGUCGGAUUGUGCUCAAAUUCGGUCGGGAGUUGCGGAACGUGCCUACGACCGAUAAUCAUUGCUAUGCCAUGACCGGUGAUGUAUUUUGGGCAUCCGAGGUCGUCUGAGGGGCGAAAAUGCCAGGUUACUGUCCUGAUACACAAAAGUUACUGUUGUAUAUAAAGGAAGUCACUGUUCUGGUUCAUCGUAGAUACUGUUAUAAUUCUUCGUGGUUACUGCUAUAAUUCAUCGAAGUGACUCUUCUAAAUCAUCGGGCUCACUGUUGUGAUCUAUAAAAGCUAAUGUUUUGAUUGAAUAAAGGUACUGAUGAGGUGCGUGUCAUCGGCGGCGCAGGCAGCCAAAACGACGACGGCGUCAAAGGUGUCGGAUUGUGCUCAAAUUCGGUCGGGAGUUGCGGAACGUGCCUACUACCGAUACUCAUGGCAAUGCCAUGACCGGCGAUGUAUUUUGGGCAUCCGAGGUCGUCCGAGGGGCGAAAAUGCCAGGUACUGAUGAGGUGCAUGUCAUCGGCGGCGCAGGCAGCCAAAACGACGACGGCGUCAAAGGUGUCGGAUUGUGCUCAAAUUCGGUCGGGAGUUGCGGAACGUGCCUACGACCGAUAAUCAUUGCUAUGCCAUGACCGGUGAUGUAUUUUGGGCAUCCGAGGUCGUCUGAGGGGCGAAAAUGCCAGGUUACUGUCCUGAUACACAAAAGUUACUGUUGUAUAUAAAGGAAGUCACUGUUCUGGUUCAUCGUAGAUACUGUUAUAAUUCUUCGUGGUUACUGCUAUAAUUCAUCGAAGUGACUCUUCUAAAUCAUCGGGCUCACUGUUGUGAUCUAUAAAAGCUAAUGUUUUGAUUGAAUAAAGGUACUGAUGAGGUGCGUGUCAUCGGCGGCGCAGGCAGCCAAAACGACGACGGCGUCAAAGGUGUCGGAUUGUGCUCAAAUUCGGUCGGGAGUUGCGGAACGUGCCUACUACCGAUACUCAUGGCAAUGCCAUGACCGGCGAUGUAUUUUGGGCAUCCGAGGUCGUCCGAGGGGCGAAAAUGCCAGGUUACUGUCCUGAUACACAAAAGUUACUGUUGUAUAUAAAGGAAGUCACUGUUCUGGUUCAUCGUAAUUCUUCGUGGUUACUGCUA